GCCAGCAUGACAUAGUGGUUUAAGUGUUGGACUGUGACUCUGGAGACCUGGGUUCAAUUUCCACUUGGCC